UCGGUUCAGCUAUUUAUAAAUAAUUACAGCGUAAAUAGUAUUAACGAAGAAUUCAAUCGAAAAAAUUUGAAAAAUUUUGAUGCAAGCAGUUUACCACCAUGUAAAACUGAAUUAUUUCAACAAUUUCUCCGAGCGAAUUACAUUGCUAGUAUAUGGAAUAAUGCAAAUGAAAAACUACCAACCAUUUUAACUCCUGAACACAAUGGGUGGAGGCUAGAAGAAAACCAAUAUCACUUUCAUUGGUUUGAUGGUGACCAAUUACUCGGAGACAUUAGUGAAUUCCUUAAAAAUUCAGAAGACGCUGCCAGCAACGACAACAUCACUGAUGACGACGAGGAUGACUUGAAUGGACAAUAUCAUGAUUGGAUGAACGAUGAAAAUUCCAAUGACUGUGUCGAUAAUUGCGAUGAUUAAAAGAUAAACAAAUA